AUUGAACGCUGGCGGCAUGCUUUACACAUGCAAGUCGAACGGUAACAGGCCGCAAGGUGCUGACGAGUGGCGAACGGGUGAGUAAUGCAUCGGAACGUGCCCAGUCGUGGGGGAUAACGCAGCGAAAGCUGCGCUAAUACCGCAUACGAUCUCUGGAUGAAAGCGGGGGACCGUAAGGCCUCGCGCGAUUGGAGCGGCCGAUGUCAGAUUAGGUAGUUGGUGGGGGAAAGGCUCACCAAGCCAACGAUCUGUAGCUGGUCUGAGAGGACGACCCGCCACACUGGGACUGAGACACGGCCCAGACUCCGACGGGGGGCAGCAGUGGGGAAUUUUGGACAAUGGGCGCAAGCCUGAUCCAGCAAUGCCGCGUGCAGGAAGAAGGCCUUCGGGUUGUAAACUGCUUUUGUACGGAACGAAACGGUCCUGGUUAAUACCUGGGGCUAAUGACGGUACCGUAAGAAUAAGCACCGGCUAACUACGUGCCAGCCGCCGCCGUAACAC
rnacentral:rRNA from 1 species